AUUUCCAGAAAAGCGACGGACAUGAUCCUUUAGUUCGUCGCUUUUCUGGGAUUUU
rnacentral:pre_miRNA from 1 species